AAUAGAUGGUACAUUGAGAGUAGAUUCAGAAGGAUCAAAACAGAAGGUUUCGAGAGGUUGUUUGGUUAAGCUUUUAAGAUGAAGAGUGAGAUUUAAUGUUGUUGGAACUCACAGCUAAAUAAACUCAGAACUCUCACCUUAGAGAAACUCCUCAGCAUGAUCAGUAGCACAAUUAAAUAGAGCCAGAGGCCUGCGAGACUUUCAACUAACAUAGACUGCUGUGCAUAGAAUCUGAAAUCAAGAUCACAUCCAUUGCGCAACAGAAUUUCGCCAGAAGAGAUUUGUUGAAAAUCAUUUCAAUAGGAACCUCGUGCCGCUUGCACCAGGCAACCGUAAUCCUGGGGUCAAGGUCGUUUAUCUUGGAUGUGCCUAAUGCCACAGUUUUCAGAUCUUCUUUUGUCUUCAUAUCACGUUGCAUUUUGUCAAUUUUUGCAUUGGUUUGAUAAAUGAUAGACUAGAAAAGUUUGAGGGUUGAUACGGAGCAAAUUUAUCUUGUACCUUACAGGCUUUACACUGUCAUUUAUAAUAUCUAACAUUUGCUUUUAUCAAGAACAUGAGGUAGCUAAGUCUGCAGACGUAUAUGAGCUUCUAGAAGCCAAUUUUGACAAGCUGAACAAUAAGAUUGGUACUCAUUCUCUCAACUAUUCAUCUGACAAAUGUGGUUCUGAAUUUAGGCAUAAAAAUGGUUAUGCCUUGAAAGAGAGAAAACAGUGGAAAAACGUUGUAAGAAGUUUUUUGAUGGUAAGUGAUAUUCAGAAGCUGACUUCUGCAUCGAGGUGCAUAUUUAACAAGUAAGAUAAUCUACCUAUAACCUUUUUUUUUAGCUCUGAUGUGAUUUAUGUUUUUAAUGGUAUAUAGCACUGCAUGUUCUAUGUAUGGCAUUUACAUUACCAAAUAUAGCAUGCACUACUAUUAUAUAAUACAGUUGGAAGGUUGUAUGUAUUAUUAUAGAUGUAAAUUAUAUUUUUGGUUCUUUAUCUUAUUUAUUAGAUUCAUUUUGAUCCCUUAAACAAGUUAAAUUGUAUAUCCACUCUACUUAAGCAACACAAUUGAGUUGAAUAGUGUACCAUACAAUUU